rnacentral:rRNA from 1 species
ACUUGUACCGACUGGAUGAGCAGCGAACGGGUGAGUAACGCGUGGGGAAUCUGCCUUUGAGCGGGGGACAACAUUUGGAAACGAAUGCUAAUACCGCAUAAAAACUUUAAACACAAGUUUUAAGUUUGAAAGAUGCAAUUGCAUCACUCAAAGAUGAUCCCGCGUUGUAUUAGCUAGUUGGUGAGGUAAAGGCUCACCAAGGCGAUGAUACAUAGCCGACCUGAGAGGGUGAUCGGCCACAUUGGGACUGAGACACGGCCCAAACUCCUACGGGAGGCAGCAGUAGGGAAUCUUCGGCAAUGGACGAAAGUCUGACCGAGCAACGCCGCGUGAGUGAAGAAGGUUUUCGGAUCGUAAAACUCUGUUGGUAGAGAAGAACGUUGGUGAGAGUGGAAAGCUCAUCAAGUGACGGUAACUACCCAGAAAGGGACGGCUAACUACGUGCCAGCAGCCGCGGUAAUACGUAGGUCCCGAGCGUUGUCCGGAUUUAUUGGGCGUAAAGCGAGCGCAGGUGGUUUAUUAAGUCUGGUGUAAAAGGCAGUGGCUCAACCAUUGUAUGCAUUGGAAACUGGUAGACUUGAGUGCAGGAGAGGAGAGUGGAAUUCCAUGUGUUAACCGG